AAUGAACGCUGGCGGCAUGGCUAAGACAUGCAAGUCGAACGAACUAUUUGAUUGAGUAAUCGAAAGAAUAGUUAGUGGCGAAAGGGUGAGGAAUAGAUAGGAACGUACCUUGUACUCUGGGAUAGCGUCCCGAAAGGGGCAGUAAUACCAGAUGAUAUGGUUUACCAUUAAAGAUUUAUCGGUAUAAGAGCGGCCUAUCUCCUAUCAGCUUGUUGGUGAGGUAAUGGCUUACCAAGGCUACGACGGGUAGCGGGACUGAGAGGUUGGCCCGCCACAUCGGGACUGAGACACUGCCCGGACCUCCACGGAGGGCUGCAGUAACGAAUAUUGGGCAAUGGGCGAAAGCCUGACCCAGCAAUGCCGCGUAUAGGAUGAAGCCCCUCGGGGUGUAAACUAUUGUCAGGUCCUAGAAAGUUUUCGAAUUGAUCAGGACCAGAGGAAGCAACGGCUAACUUCGUG
rnacentral:rRNA from 1 species